AGUUCUAAGCCUGCUGCAGCAGGGGGCCAGGGGUCAGGGAGGUGGCAGACUGCCAAGCUUCCUGCCACACGUCUCUUCCUGGGAUGUUAAGGAGGCUGGCAUGGAGUCAGAGUCCACUCAAGAAAGCAGAAACUACUGGCUAUACUCGCACAGAAGGAAUUUGCUACAGGGAACUGGUUGCAGGUGAUAAUCAGCGAGAAGCCCAGCGGGGGACAGUGAGGUAACCCAGAGAUCGGUGACACAAGAGGCCUCUACCAUCCCUAGGCCGGAGGGGUCCAGGGAGGAAGUGAGGUUGCUGGAUCCCAGGGCGAGUCACCCGUCCACAGGGAGCUGGAGUCAUGAGCCAAACGCAGCUGCUCAUGGAAGCCAGUGGAGGCAGGAGGGAAGGGAGAGACCCCAGCUUCUCUCCCUUGCCUACCUCCUGUCUCCUGUCAGUGCUUCCCACUGGCCAAGCCUAACCUGAAGCCAGCUGACCGGGGAGCCUGGGAAGCCAGGAAGACAGCCACCUGUGAUACAGGACAGAGCAGAGGCAGGACAAGGAAAGGACCUGAGAGGUCACAGCCCACGAAGGACACAGUGGGUCGAGGUGGUAGCCUGAAGCCACAAAGCACGCUAGCCGGGGACUCCACGCGCACCUUGUCUUCCCUCCCACACUGUUGGGUGAUGGCGGCCGGCUCCCCAUCAGCUUCUGGUGCCUUCGUGAUAAAUGCCCACACGCUCCCACCCCAGCCCGAUUCAUCAAGCUCCCCGUGGCACGUUGCAUGGCCAGAGACCUUGCCCACCAGGAGCUUAAUCUCCCAGACAAAGAACAGAAACGCGGCCUGGGCCAGAGACAUAUAACAUGUUGCCGGGAGUCACUGACGGUCUAAGUGAGCCCAGGAGCCUCGCAGCUCCUGCCAGGAAUGGGGAGGGGGCGGAGCGGCCGAGGCCUUCGGUUUUCUCCCUCCUUCCAUCUCUGGUGUCAGGGGUGACUUGGAAAGGAUACCCCAAGUUUCUCUAGGCCAUUCUUCCACCUUUUUCUCAACCUAACCCCUCCUGGACCAAGCAGGCUCUAAUACAGCUGUUCCUUUCUCCUUCCCUCCCCUCCUUCCUUAACAUGGAUUAAAAGCCUCCAACACACUGUUUGCUAUGGACGCUGUGGAUGCCAUAGCGAGCAAGACAGGCCUGGUCCCUGCCCUCACGGUGCUUACACACGCAGAGCUUCUGCAACCUUCCCUAGUUGUCCCCCUAAGGGCAGGGGGACCUUCAGACCACCCCACCCCGCUGCUUUCCAAACUCAGCUUCCAAGAGGAAGCUGAGACCCAGUCCAUCUGGAGACCCAACUCCAGGCUUCCCUUCUGUCUCCAACCCCUUUUGAGUAAAAAGAGGGUCAGAGAGGAGAGGGCACUAGAUUCAGGGGGCUGUGAUUGGCUGCCACCAGACUGAUAGAUGGGUGAAGAGACCAACCAAGACUGUGGGACAGCCAGGGUGGCAAGGCAACCUAGAGUCAGGCAGGUGCCGCUGCAGUCCCCACCGCCUGCCCCCCACCCCUCGGCCAGCCUGUCCCCCCUGUCUGGGGCCCAGCUCUAAAUCUCUCUGACAUAAAAUAUUGUCGGAGAGCCACAGCACAGAGAGAUUAAAAAACAAUAAAGAGAAAGCGAAACUCUCGUCUAUAAUUACCAGCCUCUAGCCGGCAGCAGCAGAAACGCACUAAAAUUUUAAUAGGAACCACUGCAUUUAAUUUAACGACACAUUUUUUCAAUUACCAGAAUAAUUGUCUUAUUCAUAAAAUGAGUUUCAAUAAAGAGGGUA
rnacentral:lncRNA from 10 species